GUGCUGCUGAGGAGUCCCACAAUAGGACUAAACGGCCGUCAAGUGC
rfam:Schistosoma mattheei strain Denwood, Zambia genome assembly, scaffold: SMTD_scaffold0014420